rnacentral:rRNA from 1 species
UAACACGUAUCCAACCUGCCGAUAACUCGGGGAUAGCCUUUCGAAAGAAAGAUUAAUAUCCGAUAGUAUAUUAAAACCGCAUGGUUUUACUAUUAAAGAAUUUCGGUUAUCGAUGGGGAUGCGUUCCAUUAGUUUGUUGGCGGGGUAACGGCCCACCAAGACUACGAUGGAUAGGGGUUCUGAGAGGAAGGUCCCCCACAUUGGAACUGAGACACGGUCCAAACUCCUACGGGAGGCAGCAGUGAGGAAUAUUGGUCAAUGGACGAGAGUCUGAACCAGCCAAGUAGCGUGAAGGAUGACUGCCCUAUGGGUUGUAAACUUCUUUUAUAUGGGAAUAAAGUAUUCCACGUGUGGGAUUUUGUAUGUACCAUAUGAAUAAGGAUCGGCUAACUCCGUGCCAGCAGCCGCGGUAAUACGGAGGAUCCGAGCGUUAUCCGGAUUUAUUGGG